AGAUCAUGAUAGUCCAGAAUGAACAGCCGUUUGUUCUCCAGCGCCUGAAGAAAUCAAGGUAUAUUCAUCAUUUUUCCCUCUUAAUUUUUUUUUCCCUACUAAAUCAUUUCCAUAUGAAUGACAAAGCCAGUCUAAAUAUGUUCCAAGUAGAAUCAAGUUUCUGCCAAUAUUGAGGAAAUUUGUGAUCUUUCACAAUAAAUAGGGGUGCAUCAUAUUUUUCUCAAGUUCUCUAUUUUUCUUCCCCAAGUCAAUUUACCCUGUGAAAGGAGGAUUUAGUUAAUUAUUGAGGUGUCCUCAGGUGUCUGAAAUUCUAUCCGGUGAUCCUCUCAGGUUUGUUUGUGAAAUUGUGUUCCUGGUGAGUUUGAUAUCAAUUUAUAUCCCUUUUGUCCGUGUUCUAGUAUAUCACAUUCUCUUAUUAUUGUAGAUUGAUUUGCUAGAUCAUGUUAGGUCAGAUUGAUUUGCUUUUGAACAAUGAACACACGUUACCUCUUGCAUAGUCAUGACACCUUUGAUCUCUUUCUCAAGUAUUUCUUCUGUGAUUGCCGAGUCUGCUGGGCCAUAGACCUUCGGAUCCAGUUUGCUCACUAUAGGGAAUGUCUGCACAUUCAUCAAACUAAAGUUAUCAGAAAAAUGCAUCGUUCAUUGUUUAAGAGAGAUUCUAGUUGUGAUUACCUCCAGCAGCUCAAUGGCGUAGGGAUUUAUUCCAGCCAAGCAUUGGCGAGCAAAUUCUUCAUCUCUGAGCCAUGAGAACUUGUCCCCUGCAAUCAAUUUGACAUUUUACUCCACAGGACUUCUUGUUUUCCGUCAGUGACAGUCCUCACCAAGCGAGGAAGCACACCCCGCAAUAAGCCCGCCCCUUCGAGCUUUGGCAGAUUCAACCCUUCACUGAAGAGUGAAUCAAUGGCGGUGAAGUAUGGGAAUCCUAGAUGGACGUCAAUAAUUGCACUCUGGAUUGAGGGAACAACUGCACGAAGCACUGACCGAAAUGUCUUCACUGAGAAAUUAGCCGACUUCACCUCGGAAAAGGCUUCAUCUCUAGGGUUGUCGGACUUUGAGGCCACCCAUGAGUUGCAUGUAAAAGUGGGCAAAGUUGCAUUAGGAUUGCUGGUCACAAGCUUGAUGUCCUUGACGAACAGCUCCUUGCUUUGAUCAUUCGUUACAAACACACCUCCAAUGGUGCCAAAAUCCUCGCCGACUUCAAAGGUGGCUUCAUACGUGAUCAAGUUGCCCUCUUUGCUCGCUCUGCGAGCAUAGGCUGGAAGAGUCUCCUUCUCCAAUCCCGUUUCUUUCUCAAUAAUAUUAUGGGAACAUGCACAAGAACAAAUAUUUCAUCACAUUCCUAUGAAGUUUAAUUUCAAUGCCUGUCGUUCAAGCAAUCGAUGGAGGCAUUUGCAAUUAA